GAUGACUUUGUGGCUGGUUCGGGCAGAAAGAAACACUUCUGUCUUUAACUCUAGCAGUGGGGGAACAUGGAUGAGGGGACAGACCUUCCUAAUCCUCUUUCUCGCUGCAGACGGAAGGAACUGCUCUCCUCCGAAAGCCUUCCCAAGAGUGCCUGGGCUUGUAAAUGAUUUUAGCCGUGGUGCAAGUUGCUGGGCUGAUGUCUCCCCAUGGCUGAUCCCCAAACAGCUUCAGCACAGGCAGGAGCAGGGCAGCUCACAAAACAACAGCCAGUCCAAAUCCUCAUCAGCUCUGUAGAUAAAUAGCGUGAUUUACUCUGUCAGCGUCGAAGAAGAGACACACACCACAAGUCAGUUAUCUCCGGCCAUAAACAAACUGGAGUGGCUUUGCCUUUUAAACGGCUCCCUUCUCUCCUGUGGAGUGCUGCUUUCCGCCUUACGUAACCCUCUGGGCAACUCCA